AAAGUCUACUUACAGAGCUGGAAAAAUCAAAAUAAGUCUGUUGCAUUGGGUACAAUAUUAAGUUGUGAUCCAACAUAGAAACUUGAUGGUGUUCAGCUAGGCAAAGAAUUUUGGAUGGUUCGUGUUAGUUUUGCAAUUGUAGAUGAUGAACCAUUGAUACGACCAUACAAAGGCUACAAGGUUAUUGGAGACGUAGAAGGAGGAGUUAUUGUUGCAUGGCCCUCAACUUUUAUCAAGAAGAUAAAUAUAUGAUCACAUCAGUGGAACGCUAGACUAAAGUGAAGGAAGGAGAAAUGACAUCUGCAGGCAUACUAAGAGGGAUCCCUUUAUGUGUUUUAAAUUUGCUUCGCAUAGGAACUUGUACUCCGAACAAAACUUGUCAUGAACUAUGUGGAUGAUACUCAUUGUACUGCAACAAAUUCUUUAUACUAUAUUUAUAUAUGGUUGAGUGUGUUUA